UGGAGAAGGGACUUCAUCAUGUCGGGGAGUGGUUUAUCAAGAGGCAAAAGAGAACUCUUUUUGAAGUUCUUGAGAAGGUGAAAGCCGAGUUGAUGAUUCUCGGCUUCAUCUCCUUGCUGUUGACGUUUAGUCAGGACCAGAUCG